rnacentral:rRNA from 1 species
UACGUAUGGGGCAAGCGUUGUCCGGAUUUAUUGGGCGUAAAGAGCGUGUAGGCGGCCAAACAGGUCAGCUGUGAAAACUCGAGGCUCAACCUCGAGACGUCGGUUGAAACCGUAUGGCUAGAGUCCGGAAGAGGAGAGUGGAAUUCCCGGUGUAGCGGUGAAAUGCGCAGAUAUCGGGAAGAACACCCGUGGCGAAGGCGGCUCUCUGGGACGGUACUGACGCUGAGACGCGAAAGCGUGGGGAGCAAACAGG